GUCUUUUUCUUCCUUGCUUCGUCUUCCUCCUCCUCUUACUGAUCAAUCCUCUCUCUCUCUCUGCCUCCAAUGGCGACGAGUACUCCGUCUUCCUCCUCUUCCACCACCAACAUCAUGCUGGCGAUCUUCGAGAAGAAGACCGUCUCCCUCGACCUGUACCGCCCACUCCGCCAGUACAUCUCCUUCACCUAUUCCGAGCGCGAGGCCCAGAACCUCGAGGAUGAUCUCCAAACCCUAAGGGACCUCCGCUCCGACCUCGAGAACCCCGCCAAGCAGCCCUCCCACUCCGCCCGCCGUGACCUACUCCAGUCCUACUUCCGUGCCCUUUGCGUCAUCGAGACCCGAUUCCCCAUCUCCCCCGACCGCGACCACGUCAACUCCGUCACUUUCACGUGGUACGACGCCUUCAAGCAGAAGCAGAAGGCCUCCCAGCAGAACAUCCACCUCGAAAAGGCCGCCGUCUUGUUCAACCUCGGAGCUGUCUACAGCCAGAUCGGGCUGAGCUAUGACCGCUCCACAGUGGAGGGGCGGCGCCAGGCCGUGCAGGCCUUUAUAGCCGCAGCCGGGGCGUUUGCUUAUUUGAGGGAUAAUGCAGCCACGAAGGCGUCGAUGGGGACCUCGACAACCUUGGAUGUGUCGGUGGAGUGUGCGGGGAUGCUUGAGAGGCUGAUGCUGGCUCAGGCGCAGGAAUGCGUCUUCGAGAACACGAUCGCCAAAGGGAGUACCCCAGGCGUUUGUGCUAAAAUCUCCAGGCAGGUCGGGCUGUACUAUGAAGAAGCCUUUGCUGCUCUUAGUGUGGCUCCGUUAAAUCAGCAUUUUGACAAGGCCUGGAUAGCGCAUGUACAGCUGAAGGCAGCUUUGUUUUAUGCGGAAGCAUGCUAUAGAUAUGGCAUAGAGCUGCACGAGAAAGAGGAGGUAGCAGAGGAAAUUGCUAGGUUGCGGAGUGGUAUUAAUGCUUUAUCAGAUGCCAAGAAGAACUCUAAAGGCGCAGCAGCUCAACUUCUAGAUGCUAUCAACAAGCUUGAGGCAAACAUAAAUCGCAAUUUAGAGAGGGCUGUGAAGGAAAACGAUAGGGUCUACCUUAUGAGAGUACCUUCCCCCAGUUCCCUUCCACCUCUCCCAGCAUUUUCUUUGGUGAAGCCACUCGCAAUGAAUGAGGUGUUGGAUGCAAGCAAGGAGAAGCUGUUUGCAAGUUUAGUUCCAGACAGUAGUGCAAAGGCGCUUUCAAGGUACACUGAGAUGGUUGAUGAUAUCAUUCGAAUGCAAGCUGAGAAACUGCAGCAGGGGAGUGAACUGACUAGGGUUAAGUUGAAGGAAAUGGACCUGCCUGAUAGUUUACUAGCAUUGGAAGGUCAUUUCGCUCUUCCAGCAGAUCUCAAAGAGGAUGUGGAGGCCGUGCAGAUUAGUGGAGGCCCAGCUGGCCUAGAAGCUGAGCUGCAGCAACUUCGAGAUCUGAGGAGGGUGAACCAGGAAUUGCUGGUUCAGACUGAAGAGCUCCUUCAGAAAGAGGCUAGAGAAGAUGCACAAUUCAGAAGCCAGUUCGGAACACGUUGGACUCGGCCUCAGUCCAGCACUCUCACUAAGAAUUUACAAGACAGGCUGAACAGAUUUGCGGGUAACUUGAAGCAAGCAGCAGAGAGUGAUGCCAAGAUUGAGCGUUCAGUCAGAGAUCAUUCUGCCCUAAUGUCCAUCCUGGAUCGCCGCCCGAUUGAAUCAGCUCUUCCAACUUUGGCACGCCCAAUAAUGUCCUUGGAUGCCAAUGAAGAUGCUAUUGUGGGCGCAUUGAAGCAAAGCUUGAGGCAAUUGGAAACCCUUGGUGCACAGAGGGCAGGGCUUGAGGACAUGCUAAAGGAGAUGAAAAGAAAGGACGAUAUACUACCAAAGUUGAUGACGUCGACAGGAUCCUAUGAGGACCUCUUCAAAAAGGAGUUAUCCAAGUAUGAUCCCAUCUGUGAGGACAUUGCCCAAAAUAUCGAGGCUCAGGAACAGCUAUUGAUGCAAAUCCAGGCUCAAAAUGAUGAAUUCUCUGCAAUCUUCAAUCUGGAAGACUACAAAGCGUCUCGGGAGAAAUGUUAUAAGCAGAUUCAAGCUGCCAUUGCAAAGUAUCGAGAAAUUAAGGAGAAUAUCAACGAGGGUCUCAAGUUUUAUGUGACCCUUCAGGAUGCGAUCACAAACGUGAAGCAGCAGUGCAGUGACUUCGUUAUGACGAGGAACAUCCAGUGCCGAGAAAUGAUUGACGAUGUCCAGAGAAACAUGGCAGGUCUAAGCUUUCAGGACAAGAAUUCCGGUUCAUUCAACAGCGGCUAUCCCCCAGUGAGCCAUCAGCCCCACCAGAGGUCCUCUCCGCCGCCACCAGUCACGGGCCAAAAUGUGCCGCAAACACCUAUGUACCAGCCUCCUGAUCAGCCCACUGCGUCAACUGGAUACUCGUACCAUCCUCCCCCAUAUGGCUCCACCCAGCAGCAGGCACCACCCCCGCCAUACCAGGUGUCAUCUGCCCCUUCCUACGGGCAUCCGCCGCCCCAGCAACAACCGCCAGCGAGCCAUGACUAUGGUCAGCCUGCAUAUCCCGGGUGGAGAGGUCCAUACUACAAUGCACCGGCCCAGCAGCCUGGCCCCUAUGCACGGCCUCCGUACACUGCUCCAAGUCCGUACCCGCCACAUAACCAAACUGGCUACUACAGGCCACAAUAAGAGGCAGUAUGUCUAGUACUCUUCCUUUGCGUGUAAUUUUAUUGCUCCGCAUGUAUUAUUUUUUAUCUGAUCAAUUAUGACAGAUUGUUGAUGUUCUUGCUGCCGGUAUGUGCCCAUUCUUUGUGGAAUGGACUGGAUAUAGUUGGACCCUUCGCAUGGUCUUGAAGCCUUUUGAAGUUACUUGUGUAUGUGUCGGGAUGGGACUGGAAUUUGUAGGUUCUUGGCAGUUGAAACCUUAAUGGGAGUCGGUCCAUUGUCAUGUUCAUCAUGAAUUUCACGCUACUAUGGUUGGGAAAGCUAUGCUGUUAUUCCUUUGGCCGUGAGCACUUGUAAUGCUGUCUUACAGUAGACUGGGAAUUCUACCGUGCAGCGGCUGAAACUUUCAUAUUUUUCGUCAA